UACGGAGGGUGCAAGCGUUGUCCGGAAUCACUGGGCGUAAAGGGCGCGUAGGCGGCCUGGUAAGUCGGGGGUGAAAUCCUGCGGCUUAACCGCAGGGCUGCCUUCUAAACUGUCAGGCUUGAGCACGGUAGAGGCAGAUGGAAUUCCCAGUGUAGCGGUGAAAUGCGUAGAUAUUGGGAGGAACACCAGUGGCGAAGGCGGCUCACUGGACCGGAACUGACGCUGAGGCGCGAAAGCGUGGGGAGCAAACAGG
rnacentral:rRNA from 1 species